GUGCUGCUGCCCCCGGUCUGAAAGAAGGAGAAAAGGGCCAUCAUUGGAGGGGCUUUCACAGCCAAAACGUGGACCAGCCCGGCAAGGUCAAAGGUUCGAGACCGCGGGAGACCAAGGUCUCCAGAUGGCUGAAACAUGAAUUGAAACAUCCUGGUUUUCUUGGGAAUAAACAAUCUCUGCUUAAGUCAGAAGUGAAAAGUUAUGAUUUUCCACAUAUUUGGAUCAGACUCAUGCUAUUCCAUAAAUGCAAAUAAUCAGCUUGGAAGAAGAGGGACUCUUAAAAAACAUUAGGGAUUUGAACACUAUAACCUGCCAUACAAAAGACGAAGGAGAGUUCUUCCAUGUAAGAAUUUCAAGACUGGAACAAAGUCAUAUUUUCUAAAUGUUUAAGGAACUAGAUUUCCAGGCCUUUCAAACAAUGGGAAUCCCUAGAUAAAUAUCUAAUCCAUUAGAAAGAUGCAAAUAGUUUACUGUAAGGCCACUGCACGGUGAGAUGUGCAUUCAUAUCUAUGGCUCCUGAUUGGCUAUUUCCUUCAGUAAAUCAAUGAAUAAUGUAAAACCUGAUUGCUGUAAAGUGGUGGAUUUUUUUAUUCCCUUCCCCCAUUCCUCCAUGACUCAAUAUAUUAAAGAAGUCUUACUCUCUCGAAAA